rnacentral:lncRNA from 1 species
UCAAGACUGGCAGUUUGCAGGUGUAGAGUGUUUUGUUUGACUUGAACGGUGCAAUUUACUUAUUUAUUUUAGUUUAAAUGCCUUUAGAUGGAGCAAGCACUUGACAGUUAAUCAUAGUCUUGCACCUAACUGUUGCUUUGCUUGCAGUUUAUGAGAGAAGAGACUCACCUAUAUGAAAGGAUUGUGUCCCUUCAAUCCAAGGGCAUCAUCCUAAGCUGCAGAGAGACUGGAUCUGGCUUUUUGAGCAGUUAACUGGGUCUUACACUUCCGGCUCACAAGUACUCAUGUCCUUGUGUUCAUUCAGCCCUUCAUUCAACAAAUGUUUACUGAGCACCUACUAUGUGCCAGAUGUUGAAGUCCAAAGAGGUGAACAAUGGAAAGACAUCAGCUGUGAGUCAGUGGGGAGUGUCUGAGGAUGGAGGCGCUAUGGCUCCCUGGAGAUCUCUUGGUGUGUCCACAUGCCGGGUGGGUCCACGGACAGGAGCUCUUCUGGUGCUUCCCUCACUCCCCACCCGACCCAUGCAGUACCCACCCUCUGCAGCUGGGCCCUCCAGCUGGCUCAGCUCAGCCCUGUUUCAUGUUUAGUCGGUCUUUGAUCUUCACUCUUUAACUAAAGCCAGAGCCAGGUGAAACCUGAUUUUAUCCUUUUCUCAAAUGUGAACUAAGCUCAAAAGAAAGAGAAGGCUGAUAUGGACCCACAUCUAAACUCACAUCUGAAAUAAAAACUUGAGUGGAUUUUCCUGUUGAUCUAGAAUUGGUCACUGGGGCUGAAAUUGAGGACAAAGAGAUGAUCACCAACCUUCUGAUCUGGCCCUAUGCUUGGAAGAGCAGGAGGAGAGACAAGGAGGGAGAGAGGGCAGCGUGAACACAGUGUGACCAGAGACAAGCCUGCGUGUCUGCAUUUCAGUGUUUUAAGAGGACAUGAAUUUUCCAUGGGUCCA